rnacentral:lncRNA from 1 species
GUCCUCACAAAACCAUCCAAUGGAAGACAUCCUCCAGGAGGCCUCCAACGGAUCCCUCGAUACUACAAAAAUACCGGAGGCUUAGGAGCUGGGAACUUCCAGGGGCUAGAGAUCUCUUGCUGUGGUCCUUUCCAUCAUCGCACUGACAACAGCUCUCUCCAACACCUUUCUGCUUACCACCAUCUUCCUCACCAGGAAGCUAUAUACACCAGCCAACUAUCUCACUGGCUCCUUGUUCAUAUCCAUGAGCAUCACAUAGACCAUCACACACACCUGGAAAUUUGGCCAACUCCUGUGCAACAUCUGGCUGUCUUCUAGCAUCACGUGCUACAUGGCCUCCAACCGAUAUUUCUGUCUGUUGCUCUGACCAGGUACUGGGCCAUCACCAAUGCCCUGUAGUAUAGUAAAUGGGCCAUCUCAAAUUGUAUCUCUAUCCCAGUGCUCUUCUCCUAGACCUCUUGCACCACCUACUCCACAUGUAAGACCUUCUACAUUUUGGUUGUGUUGUUCAUCAUCUUCACACAUUGCCCAACAAGAACAUCCAGAAGCCAUCAUCACAGCACCACUGCCCAGGUCAUCACAGCUCACUCUUCUUCCUCAACCCCAGCCUCCAUGAGAGGCAAAGGCGCUUAACUGGCUCUCCUCUGCUUGUUAAUCACAUGAAAAUCAAGCAUGCUUAUAGUGUCCUAGUACAACAGGAAAUUUACUUUCAAACAAGGAAAGCCACAGAAACCCUGGGGAUCAUUUUAGGGGCUUUUAUCAUCUGCUGGCUGCCUCUCUUUAUUGUUUCUCUUUUUAAACUCCAUCAUCAAUCCAGUGAUGUACAUUCUGUCUAAUGAACAGUUUCACCAAGCAUUUCAGAAAGUUGUCUUUUUUGCGGAAAGCCUC